rnacentral:rRNA from 1 species
AUGAUCUCCUUCCGUUAGGGGGACCUGCGGAAGGAUCAUUACAGAAUGAAAGUGCUUAACUGCAUUUUUUUUACACAUGUGUUUUUCUUUUUUUUUGAAAACUUUGCUUUGGUGGGCCCAUGGCCUGCCAGAGAUUAAACUCAACCAAAUUUUUAUUUAAGUCAACUGAUUAACUAAUAGUCAAAACUUUCAACAACGGAUCUCUUGGUUCUCGCAUCGAUGAAGAACGCAGCGAAAUGCGAUAAGUAAUAUGAAUUGCAGAUAUUCGUGAAUCAUCGAAUCUUUGAACGCACAUUGCGCCCUUUGGUAUUCCAAAGGGCAUGCCUGUUUGAGCGUCAUUUCUCCCUCAAACCUUCGGGUUUGGUGUUGAGCGAUACGCUGGGUUUGCUUGAAAGAAAGGCGGAGUAUAAACUAAUGGAUAGGUUUUUUUUCCACUCAUUGGUACAAACUCCAAAAUUCUUCCAAAUUCGACCUCAAAUCAGGUAGGACUACCCGCUGAACUUAAGCAUAUAUAACCGGGGAAGAAAAAAUCAU